GCUGCUUAUGCCCACUGGGCUUUUCUCUUGGCUGUGUGUUCCUGGUCUCCGAGCCAUUCUGUGGCAAGGGGUUGGAGCUCGGUGAUCUUUGAGGUCUCUUCCAACCUAAGCCAUUCUGUGAUUCUGUGAUAUGAUUCUUUUGGCUUCAUGUUAUGGGUAUAGGCAACUACCCGUGAAGCGAUCACUGGUAUUGAAAGCUCUCAGCUCAAACUUUCUUUCUGGUCUACUGCUUGUCCACAUUUCUCAUCAUGACUAUAUGAUCCUUUAGAAAAUAAGGAAGGAACCAGAAGCCCCAGGGUGGCAUUACCUUUACAUUUCAGAUCCAUGGAACCGUUUGAGUUGGAAGGUACCCUUAAAGGCCAUCUGGCCCAACCCCUUGUACUGAACAGGGGCACCUACAGCUCCAUCAGGUGCUCAGAGCCCCGUCCAGCCUGACCUUGGGUGUCUCCAGGGACGAGGCACCACCACCUCUCUGGGCAACCUGUGCCAGUGCCUCACUACCCCUCAGUGUAGAAAACUUCUUCCUUAUAUCCAGUCUUAAUCUCCCCUCUUAUAGUUUGAAACCAUUUCCCUUGUCCUGUCACAUCAGACCCUGCUAAAAAAGCCCAUCCCCUUCUUUCUUACAGCCCCCCUUUAGGUACUGCUUUCCAGGGGUCAGCACCUCUUGCUGGGAAGAUGACACGUGGGGUCCCUUUUUUGCCUCUGCCCUCCCUUUGCCACAAGUGGCAAUCUUACCCUCUUUUUCCAUUCGCUCCAUGUGCUCUCCUCCUUGCAGUGGAGACGGUUUGUUACUGACUGCACGGAGGCAUUGCAAGGCUUAGCUGGGAGUCGGAAAAACUUUUCCAGAUCUUUAGUCAAGUUGUUUCAUGCUGAGUGCAGAACACUGCUGUUUUCUGUUUGCUUGUUAUUUUGUUUUUUUUUUCCAGAGUGAAUUGGAAACAUGGGCUUUCCCCAGAGGAAGCAGGUCACUCUAAAAUAAGAUAAACAACACCUAUACUAAUUGUACUGGAAAAUAGAGCAGCUUCUGCUAGUCUGCU
rnacentral:lncRNA from 1 species